GUGAGAGCGGGGGAGUGGCAAGUGAGACGGAUGGGUGGGGCUGGCUCAGGCCGCUAGCCCUGCCCAGCUCUCUAACUCUUCCCUUGUGCCCUCAG
rnacentral:miRNA from 1 species